rnacentral:rRNA from 1 species
UGGCCAAACAGGUCCGUCGGGAAAUCUGCCCGCUCAACGGGCAGGCGUCCGGCGGAAACCAGUUGGCUUGGGACCGGAAGACCUGAGGGGUACGUCUGGGGUAGGAGUGAAAUCCCGUAAUCCUGGACGGACCGCCGGUGGCGAAAGCGCCUCAGGAAGACGGAUCCGACAGUGAGGGACGAAAGCUGGGGUCACGAACCGGAUUAGAUACCCGGGUAGUCCCAGCCGUAAACGAUGCUCGCUAGGUGUGGCACAGGCUACGAGCCUGUGCUGUGCCGUAGGGAAGCCGUGAAGCGAGCCGCCUGGGAA